UACAGAGGUCCCGAGCGUUGUUCGGAUUCACUGGGCGUAAAGGGUGCGUAGGUGGCUGGGAAAGUUUGAUGUGAAAGCUCAGGGCUUAACCCUGAAAUGGCAUUGAAUACUGCCUGGCUGGAGGUUUGGAGGGGGGACUGGAAUUCUUGGUGUAGCGGUGAAAUGCGCAGAUAUCAGGAGGAACACCGAUGGCGAAGGCAGGUCUCUGGGCAUUAACUGACGCUGAGGAGCGAAAGCAUGGGGAGCGAACAGG
rnacentral:rRNA from 1 species